rnacentral:sRNA from 1 species
UUUCACUAGCUAAUGUGGAAUAUGAGUCUAGACGUCCAGUGCUCAGAAGGCGUUUAAUGUGCGUUGGAUCCUAUUAAUUCCAGAGAUAUCUGACUCUACCCCAAGGGAUUGGCUGUAGAGAGGGUAUUGGCUUUAACAUGUUGAUUCGAUAAUGCCUGCUUAGUUAGAGAUCGCUAAAGGGAUUUAGGUCAAUGUCUAGCUUUGCUUGAGGAUUUCUAUCACGGGAGUGAAUUAAUCUGUUGUUGAACUUGUUGUCUAGGGAUAGCUUAUGUGAAGUUUUGUCAACCGCUUGAAUAGAUUAAGGAGACCACACUAUUGGAUUACCCCAUCCUUAGGAAUCGUUUAUCCAUUUGAUUGCAUGUUAUCAUUUCUGCUUUGUUAUUCACCUGCCUGCUAUUGCCAUUUCUGCUUUUAAUUUCAUUUCAUUUCUGUUAUUGCAUACUAGGACUAUUAAAACCAACCAACUCUCUGCUUGGAUUGACUUAGAGCUUUCUGAUCAUAUCUCAUCUGUUUGCAUCAUACCGGAUUGGAUUGACAUCCUAAAAUACUACAACGACAGGAUAGUGUUUUAGGAUUAAUUGACUAAAAUCCUACUACCAAUUUGGGGCUGUUGCCAGUUUGGUGUUUGUUUGCUAUAUUUGAGAUCAUUAGAAACGUUAAGAUCAAGUUCAUUUUUGUUGUACAAGUUACUUUGGUUUCAGGUACCUUGCAACCCGCUUUCCAGACGCAUCUCUAAUUCGUCUGUUAUAGCCCGUCUGCUAUCUGUUGCAUGCAUACACGGUCACAAGGAAAUCAGAACCUCCUAUU